rnacentral:rRNA from 1 species
UACGUAGGUGGCAAGCGUUGUCCGGAUUUACUGGGCGUAAAGAGCGCGCAGGCGGUCGUGCAAGUCGCGUGUGAAAGCCCCCGGCUCAACUGGGGAGGGUCACGCGAUACUGCUCGACUCGAAGGCAGGAGAGGGAAGUGGAAUUCCCGGUGUAGUGGUGAAAUGCGUAGAUAUCGGGGGGAACACCAGUGGCGAAGGCGGCUCACUGGACCACAACUGACGCUGAUGCACGAAAGCUAGGGGAGCAAACAGG